UGACCCCGUGCGGGAGAGUCCUCCAGCAACACCGGAGGCGCCGAAGGAGCAAAUCCUCCCCGGAAUCUCUCAGGCCCACGUACCGCACGGACGAG
rfam:Streptomyces sp. Tu 6176 genomic scaffold scaffold00010, whole genome shotgun sequence.